AAUAGCAUAAUCUAAUAAAGAUAUUUCAAUGAUGAAGAAAAUAUAGAUUAUUCUUGUUAUUA
rnacentral:tRNA from 1 species